rnacentral:tRNA from 1 species
GAGGGUGUAGCUCAGUGGUAGAGUGCAUGCUUAGCAUGCACGAAGUCCUGGGUUCAAUCCCCAAUAACUUCA